rnacentral:pre_miRNA from 1 species
UUUGCUAAGGAUGGAUUGCUCUGGCAGAGUGAGGUAGUAGAUUGUAUAGUUUUUAGGGUAGUAAUUUUAUCCUUUUCCGGAGAUAACUAUACAAUCUAUUGCCUUCCCUGAGGAGCAGAAUUUCUACGGUGGUUUCUAUCCGGGUUUGA